UCUAUAGGUUCUUGCGCGCCUGUAGUCCCAGCUACUCGGGAGGCUGAGGCAGGAGGAUCGCUUGAGCCCAGGAGUUCUGGGCUGUAGUGCACUAUGCCGAUCCGGUAUCUGCACUAAGUUCGGCAUCAAUAUGGUGAUCUCUCGGGAGUGGGGGGCCACCAGUUUGCCUAAGGAGGGGUGAACUGGCCCAGGUCGGAAACAGAGCAGGUCAAAACUCCUGUGCUGCAUAUACUAUGAAUCAAAUUGAUGAGUUAGCUAAUGAGUUAAAUACUUGGGCAACAAUCAUGUGCAAAUCUAAUGUUUCAU
ensembl:misc_RNA Metazoa_SRP Metazoan signal recognition particle RNA